ACGGUACGCGGCCGGUGGUAAAAGCCCAUUUUCUUUUUUUAAUUUGUUUUUUUUUAUUAUUUAAUAUUUUUUUGUAAUACGCUAAUUUUUAUUUUGAAAACAUUUUGGGUUUUAGUCCAGGGAUCUUCAAUCCCACGGUUUCCCAAAGAAAUACAUUUUUAAAUUAAAAAUCAAUUGUUCGUUGUGUUUCUUUUCUAACCACAAAGAGUUUUGGAAUUUUCUUUUUCGGUUUUAAAAAAAAUUCCUGGCGCCCAUUUUUAUUGCAACGUACCCCACUGUAGGUACUUGUAACCACAUAUUUCUAAAUUGUAGCAAUUUGAUUGAUUAUUAUAAAUCGAUCAAUAUUGUUAUAAUUAAUACAAAUAAAUUCUUCCAAAAGAACCCAGCCCAGCUGAGCAGUCGCGGGUACAGCUUCGUCAACUAGCUGUAUUGUUGCACUUUUUUUUCGUUCUCUCCUUUGUGUCGCGUUCGUACUCAUUUGAGUGCACGUUCGUCGCUACGCAGCCGCCGUCGCGUCGUCAGUUUAGUUUGUUUGGAUUUAGUUGUGAUUUUAAUUAUUUGUCUACAAAUAAUUAAUACAUAAUAAUAAAAACAAAUAAGUGUAACAGCAGAGCACGAAUUGCAUCCAUGGUCCUCCCUAGUAACCAAUAUAGUAUAUUGGCAAUAGCAGAACGCGGAUAGAUGGAUAACAUCCAUUUUCUUACAGUGGCAACACUAAGUUUAAUUUGUUUCCACUUCAAAGAGAUGGUAUUUUAUUUACAAAAUUAACUCAACCGAUAUGGAGGAUUCUACACUGUAAAUACUUUCAAGCAACAUGGUUUAAACUUGUCACACUUUCUGGAAGAAAUAUAGCUACAUACUCGUACAUAUGGUCAUGGUUUCUGUAUACAUACAAACAUAUACUACACUGCAAUAAACUCAGCAACUCACGCUGACCAUAAGGGUCUUACCAAAGUGCAUCAUGGUGUUUUGAUUGGUCUUUCCCAUAAUGGAAACACACUGUUAUAAAAUAUUUAUGUAUAUGCCUGUACCUGAUACCUGAUGGCAAGUAACAACUUUGUGGGAAAAUUGCAUUGCUAUAGGAAAAAAUAGCAAUCAUAAUCAUAAUAAUAAUUCUAUCAUCAUUAUGGCCGUCUUCGUCACCAACAGGUUUCACACCAUAAGAACAAAUCGAAGGGGCGAACGAACGCGAACGUGAUGUGGACUAGAUGAACAAACCUCUCCAUCUCUUUUUCAUCUUCACGUCCAUCAUUAAAUCUAAUCCUAGAAGAGUGAAAAUUUUUAGUUCAGAGACCGAAUCAGAUUGCCAAGUUUAAUGCAAGAGAGCAUUCUGUCUCAAUUUUGUGGUUGGUUGCCAUCCAUGAUGUUUUGUUGAUUCUUUAUUGUUUCUUUAAUUUUUAAAGCAAUCAGUGAAGCAAAGAAAAUCAUUUUCGUAAAAUUGAUUUGAUUUCAUAAACUAUUUUUUAAGCUUAAAAUAAA